GGGGGAUUAGCUCAGUUGGUUAGAGCGCCAGUAUGACACACUGGAGGUCGGCAGUUCAACUCUGCCAUCUCCCACCA
rnacentral:tRNA from 1 species